GUAUUUUUGUCCGUAACGCGAUUAGAUGAAAUCUCGCCGUACGAGGUACUUUCGCCCGAGAAGAAUUCUGGAAGCUGUGAACAUCAUGAAGACUGUGAAAGCGUAGUGCUCGGAUACGGAAGAAUCGAUGAAGGUUGGAAGGCAUCUCAACAGAUAGCUGGGAGGCGGGAGGCUGGGCG
rnacentral:lncRNA from 1 species